GCAUAUCAAUAAGCGGAGGAAAAGAAACCAACAGGGAUUGCCCUAGUAACGGCGAGUGAAGCGGCAACAGCUCAAAUUUGAAAUCUGGUCCCUUGGGGCCCGAGUUGUAAUUUGCAGAGGAUGCUUUUGGCGCGGUGCCUUCCGAGUGCCCUGGAACGGGACGCCACAGAGGGUGAGAGCCCCGUAUGGUUGGACACCAAGCCUAUGUAAAGCUCCUUCGACGAGUCGAGUAGUUUGGGAAUGCUGCUCAAAAUGGGAGGUAAACCCCUUCUAAAGCUAAAUACUGGCCAGAGACCGAUAGCGCACAAGUAGAGUGAUCGAAAGAUGAAAAGCACUUUGAAAAGAGAGUUAAAAAGCACGUGAAAUUGUUGAAAGGGAAGCGU
rnacentral:rRNA from 1 species